rnacentral:tRNA from 1 species
GACUCUGUAGCUCAGUUGGUUAUCUAGAGCGCUGCACCGGAAUCGCAGGGCCGUAGCUUCGAUUCCUACCUGAGGGC